AGUUUGAUUAUGGCUCAGAUUGAACGCUGGCGGCAGGCCUAACACAUGCAAGUCGAACGGUAACGGGAAGAAGCUUGCUUCUUGCUGACGAGUGGCGGACGGGUGAGUAAUGUCUGGGAAACUGCCUGAUGGAGGGGGAUAACUACUGGAAACGGUAGCUAAUACCGCAUAACGUCGCAAGACCAAAGAGGGGGACCUUCGGGCCUCUUGCCAUCGGAUGUGCCCAGAUGGGAUUAGCUAGUAGGUGGGGUAACGGCUCACCUAGGCGACGAUCCCUAGCUGGUCUGAGAGGAUGACCAGCCACACUGGAACUGAGACACGGUCCAGACUCCUACGGGAGGCAGCAGUGGGGAAUAUUGCACAAUGGGCGCAAGCCUGAUGCAGCCAUGCCCGCGUGUAUGAAGAAGGCCUUCGGGUUGUAAAGUACUUUCAGCGGGGAGGAAGGGAGUAAAGUUAAUACCUUUGCUCAUUGACGUUACCCGCAGAAGAAGCACCGGCUAACUCCGUGCCAGCCGCCGC
rnacentral:rRNA from 1 species